rnacentral:rRNA from 1 species
GAACCACUUCGGUGGGGAUUAGUGGCGAACGGGUGAGUAACACGUGGGCAAUCUGCCCUUCACUCUGGGACAAGCCCUGGAAACGGGGUCUAAUACCGGAUAACACUCCCUCCCUCCUGGGUGGGGGUUGAAAGCUCCGGCGGUGAAGGAUGAGCCCGCGGCCUAUCAGCUUGUUGGUGAGGUAAUGGCUCACCAAGGCGACGACGGGUAGCCGGCCUGAGAGGGCGACCGGCCACACUGGGACUGAGACACGGCCCAGACUCCUACGGGAGGCAGCAGUGGGGAAUAUUGCACAAUGGGCGAAAGCCUGAUGCAGCGACGCCGCGUGAGGGAUGACGGCCUUCGGGUUGUAAACCUCUUUC